UAUGGGUGUGGUGGAUAACUGCCCUGGUGGCCUGCUAUGACCCACACCUGGCACUUACACCCCGUGGCAUCCCAUCCCUUGUGAUCUGCUCUCACCAAUGAGAUACUAGCUAUUGUGAUGCAGGCAGAGGUUUGGUAAGUGUUUGUAUUUUGGGACUUCUGCUCUUAGAUGCUCCCUUUUAGGACCCUGAGAUCCCAAUAGUAGCCACGUAGAGAGCCCACGGAGAGUCCAUGGCUCCAGGUAUCUUCUGGAGUGGUAGAGCAAGAGGUCGAGUUACAGAGAAGCACAGGAAUCAUGUAUUUCCCUGAGAAUGCAUGGUGCAUAUGAAGCUUAUCAUGUUCAAGGAAUCUGCUUCAGAAGAAUGGAUGUUGUUGAGGGGUUAGUAAAUGAGAACUCAGGGGCAGCAGGUGAGAAAAGCAGGAGAGUGCUGCAGGCACAUUCAUAUAGACGCUGUGCAAGAAAAGAUUUCAUGGAGCCUCAGAAGAAUUUCCAGUCAUGAUUUCACUGUAGGAUUUCAACAUUGUGACAAAGGAUAAGUGAUCCUUGGAUGACCACUUCUCACUUGAUUCCCUCACUGGCACAUAAAGAGAUCACACUUUAAA